rnacentral:rRNA from 1 species
AUCUGGUUCAGGAUGAACGCUGGCGGCGUGCUUAACACAUGCAAGUCGAACGGAGUUACAUGAAACCUAGUGAUUGUAAACUUAGUGGCGGACGGGUGAGUAACGCGUGGGUAACCUGCCGUAUACCGGGGGAUAACACUUAGAAAUAGGUGCUAAUACCGCAUAAGCGCACGAGAUCGCAUGAUUUUGUGUGAAAAACUCCGGUGGUAUACGAUGGACCCGCGUCUGAUUAGAUAGUUGGUGAGGUAACGGCCCACCAAGUCAACGAUCAGUAGCCGGCCUGAGAGGGUGAACGGCCACAUUGGGACUGAGACACGGCCCAAACUCCUACGGGAGGCAGCAGUGGGGAAUAUUGGACAAUGGGGGCAACCCUGAUCCAGCGACGCCGCGUGAGUGAAGAAGUAUUUCGGUAUGUAAAGCUCUAUCAGCAGGGAAGAAAAUGACGGUACCUGACUAAGAAGCCCCGGCUAACUACGUGCCAGCAGCAGC